CCUAAGACAUGCAAGUCGUACGAGGUGGCCCUUUGAACUCUGUACUUGUAUAGAGCGAUUGGAUUCCCACCUAGUGGCGAAAGGGUGAGUAACACGUGAGUAAUCUACCUCAGAGACUGGAAUAACUAUUGGAAACGAUAGCUAAUGCCGGAUGAUAUAUACAAUGAUACGUUGUUGUAUAGUAAAAGGGGCCUUUAAAGCUUCACUUUGAGAUGAGCUUGCGACGUAUUAGCUAGUUGGUGAGGUAAUGGCUUACCAAGGCGACGAUGCGUAGCCGACCUGAGAGGGUGAUCGGCCACACUGGGACUGAGACACGGCCCAGACUCCUACGGGAGACAGCAGUUAGGGAUAUUCGUCAAUGGAGGAAACUCUGAACGAGCAAUGCCGCGUGAGUGAUGAACCAGCUCUAUGGAUUGUAAAACUCUGUUGUUGGGGACGAACGACCUGUAUAGGAAAUGAUACAGGAGUGACUGUACCUUCCAAGAAAGCUCCGGCUAACUACGUGCCAGCCGCGGC
rnacentral:rRNA from 1 species